UACGUAGGGUGCGAGCGUUAAUCGGAAUUACUGGGCGUAAAGCGUGCGCAGGCGGUUUUGUAAGCCAGAUGUGAAAUCCCCGGGCUUAACCUGGGAAUGGCAUUUGGGACUGCAUUGCUGGAGUGCGGCAGAGGGGGAUGGAAUUCCGCGUGUAGCAGUGAAAUGCGUAGAUAUGCGGAGGAACACCGAUGGCGAAGGCAAUCCCCUGGGCCUGCACUGACGCUCAUGCACGAAAGCGUGGGGAGCAAACAGG
rnacentral:rRNA from 1 species